rnacentral:lncRNA from 1 species
AUCUGUGACUCCAGCCCGCUUCAUCCUACUUGUGAUGCUGUCUCUAAUAUGCUGUAUUGAAAGUGAAAAGUCUUGUGAGAAUUAGCCAUCAAUCGGAGUAGAUAUUUGCGCUAUCUGCAGUCUCUGUAGGAAAUGUUUUCGUUAGCUUUAAGAAAUACUCAUUUCUCUUGUUUCAGAAGUUAUUAUGAGUGAGGUAGGUGUGGGAUUCAUUCUUUCUGGCAAGAGCAUCUUGGAGAGAAAGGCAGAGCCAGGAUUAUCUCACAGAUAGAAAGGAACAGUGAGUUUUACGCCCACUGGCUCUUAAAAGGAUAGCAGUGACGUCUGACCUGAAUUGAGUAAGGCACUUGAGAUGACUCUGUCUGCGUCCCAAAAGUAGUCUUUACCCUCUUAGAUGAGUAGUCCCUGAGACACCACGACAGAGGGAGAAUGAACAAAACACAAAGGAUGCUCCUUCCACGCAGAAAGCAUGUAGAAGGAAGGCAGGAUUUCCCCGAUUUUUCUGCCUUGUGAGGAAAAUUGGAGCAUCCUAUACGAGCCAUAGCAUCUCCUCCACCCUGCUUUGUAUGCUGAACUUCUACGAGAAGCUUACUAUUGGGGCCAACAGACAUGUUUUAAAACUCUGCAUCAUGAAAGUCCUCUGUGCUUCAGUACAGCAUGUGGACACAAACAUAGAAAAGUCUAUGAUGUUCAUGUUAAGACCUCCAAAUUGUCAACUCAAAGAAUAAUUUGGCUGGAUUAUUAUUUCAGUAACCCUGGGUUAGAUCAACUCAGACUUGCCCAAGUGUUCACAUGAUAAUGACAGUGUAGUUUAAUAUCAAUGACCUCUUAUUAUUUGCCUUCUUAUUCAGGGGUAUUCCAGAAUGAGUCAAGGGCACAGGUAUGUAGUGAAGGCCCUGAAAGAAAGUUUCAGGAAAAGAGAAGCUAUUUUCUCAUUCCUGCAGUCUGAUGAUACCAGAGCUGGGAGGGCAUGCAUGUUAGAGAAUACUCCAUUGAUGGACAUGCAUGCCCAUGUGCUGUGAUAUACAUAUGUGUGGUUCUUAUAACAUACCCCCUGUUUCCAGUAACUCUCCAGAAAGUCUAGCUGUGGUCAUUUCCUAAGUUUGCAGUACUUCUUUUGCAUUGUUGCUAACCUUUUGGGUUUUCACACAAUCACUGUUAAAGUUUAAAUACAAAGAAGACCACAAAAUGUUCAGCAGACUUAGCAAUAUAGAGGUUAUUAGAGAACAAAUGAGAACUUAAGAACAUCUUCAUCUCAGGUGGGCUUUGAUCAUAGCAUGGAGAGAGAGAAGCCUUGAGGCCCUUUUGGGACUUGAAACUUUUGUUUGGGGGCAACUAUUCAAGAUCAGGUGGUUUAAGAUGAUAGAGAAGUGAGUCUCUAGAGGGAGAGAAACCUAAAAUCCCAGGCAGAUAGUUUGGCUAAAAUAGUAAACAAUGACCACAAUGGAUUUAUUGAAGGACUAACCCAACAUUCACACAGGAAGGGUAAAGUCUUUGAUUUGAAAUUUUAAUUUAAUGAUUUCAACCUUAGCCUUGUGCUGCUGGGGCUUACACAUAAGAUGUGCACACAGAUGUGUAAAACUAAAACAAUAUCAGUGUUAAGAGUCUGAUCCUGUCCUUUUGCUCAGUCUUUUAUGUUUGAUCUUGUAUAGGAUAAAUGGUUUAUUCUAGAAUAUUUCAUUGAGAUAAAUCAAUAAAGCAUAUGAUCUGUCUUUUUAGGUAUUAACC